UUGUAUAAUAGUGUAAGGAGCACAUAAAAUUUUGAUUUUUAAGGAAAAGUUCAAUUCUUUUUUUACAAU
rnacentral:tRNA from 1 species